AAUAUGAAGGCGGGCUGGAACCUCUCGGGGUUACAGCCUUGCUGAAUUAUUCACCCUUGUCUUUUGCGUACUUCUUGUUUCCUUGGUGGGUUCGCCCACCACUAGGACAAACAUAAACCUUUUGUAAUUGCAAUCAGCGUCAGUAACAAAUUAAUAAUUACAACUUUCAACAACGGAUCUCUUGGUUCUGGCAUCGAUGAAGAACGCAGCGAAAUGCGAUAAGUAGUGUGAAUUGCAGAAUUCAGUGAAUCAUCGAAUCUUUGAACGCACAUUGCGCCCUUUGGUAUUCCAAAGGGCAUGCCUGUUCGAGCGUCAUUUGUACCCUCAAGCUUUGCUUGGUGUUGGGCGUCUUGUCUCUAGCUUUGCUGGAGACUCGCCUUAAAGUAAUUGGCAGCCGGCCUACUGGUUUCGGAGCGCAGCACAAGUCGCACUCUCUAUCAGCAAAGGUCUAGCAUCCAUUAAGCCUUUUUUUCAACUUUUGACCUCGGAUCAGGUAGGGAUACCCGCUGAACUUAAGCAUAUCAAUAAGCGGAGGAA
rnacentral:sRNA from 2 species